ACAGUCGCCAGAUCCAGUUCCAAGUGCCGAACCGAACGCGGAGCCAGGAGAUGCAGUCUCACUCUGUGGCCCAGGCUGGAGUGCAGUGGCGUGAUCUUGGCUCACUGCAACCUCCAUCUCCUGAGUUCAAGCAAUUCUCCUGUCUCAGCCUCCUAAAUAGUUGGAAUUACAGGCAAGCACCACCACGCUCAGCUACAGGAAUUUAGCCAAUUCAGAGGAAAUCUUCCCCAUAAUUAUGGAACUUUCUUACAGAUUUUACCAAGUCUGGUCAACCCAAUAAGAAAAAGACUGAAAUAACAACAACAACUUCAACAAAUAAAAAAAAACAGUUAAGCUAAAUAAACAGAUGAUUGCAGAAUUUAUGUGAUUACUGGGUACUCUAAUGGUAAGGAGAAAUUAAGACCAGCUAGUUGUUAAUCUUAACUUUUAGUCAUUAAGGAGAAUUUCCAAGACAAAACUGCAAUCCAGCUGCUUACCUAGGAAUACGGCUUAGGCUGAAAACUUCUAUCGUCUUAGAAAUGGGAAUAAACCUCACACUCACCGUCCCUGUUGGAAGCAAGCUGAAACUCCAAAAAAAAAGUUGCCUGUUGUCCAUCAUCAUGGUGAAGCGGCGUCGUUGUCUGGGUCAAGAAAACUUUUAGACAUGAAAUCAACCUAGGCGUCCAUCAAUAGUGGAUUGGAUAAAGAAAACGUGGUACAUAUACACCAUGGAGUACUAUGCAGCCAUAAAAAAUGAAAUCAUGUUCUUUGCGGCAACAUGGAUGCAGCCACUAUCCUAAGUGAAUUAAUGCAGGAAUAGGAAACUGAAUACCACAUGUUCUCAUUUACAAGUGGGAGCUAAACAUUUGGGAGCUCAUGGACAUAAAGAUGGCAAUGAUAUGCACUGGGGACUACUAGAG
rnacentral:lncRNA from 1 species